rnacentral:rRNA from 1 species
GACGAACCUAGCGAACGUUGUUCGGAAUCACUGGGCUUAAAGGGCGCGUAGGCGGGUGACUAAGUCUGUGGUGAAAUCCGGCAGCUUAACUGUCGAAUUGCCAUGGAUACUGGUUGUCUCGAGGGGGGCAGGGGUGCGCGGAACUAAUGGUGGAGCGGUGAAAUGCGUUGAUAUCAUUAGGAACUCCGGUGGCGAAGGCGGCGCACUGGUCCUCUUCUGACGCUGAGGCGCGAAAGCCAGGGGAGCAAACGGG